UACCUCAAAAAACCACAACAGUCUGUUUCAUCCGUAUAGGAAUCAUUUACUCACCACCUGAUGAUUCCUAUACGGAUGAAACAGACUGUUGCGGUUUUU